AUUGAACGCUGGCGGCAUGCUUUACACAUGCAAGUCGAACGGUAACAGGGUGCUUGCACCGCUGACGAGUGGCGAACGGGUGAGUAAUACAUCGGAAUGUACCCAGUAAUGGGGGAUAACGCUUCGAAAGGAGUGCUAAUACCGCAUACGCCCUGAGGGGGAAAGUGGGGGACCGCAAGGCCUCACGUUAUUGGAGCAGCCGGUGGCUGAUUAGCUAGUUGGUGAGGUAAAGGCUCACCAAGGCGACGAUCAGUAGCGGGUCUUAGAGGACGAUCGGCCACGCUGGAACUGAAAAACGGUCCAGACUACGACGGGAGGCAGCAGUGGGGAAUCUUGGACAAUGGGCGAAAGCCUGAUCCAGCAAUGCCGCGUGCGUGAAGAAGGCCUUCGGGUUGUAAAGCGCUUUUGUCUGGGAGCAAAUCCUGGCCUCUAAUACAGGUCGGGGAUGAGAGUACCAGCAGCGUAAGGACCGGCUAACUACGUGCCAGCAGCCGCCGUUCCAC
rnacentral:rRNA from 1 species